rnacentral:rRNA from 1 species
GACAGCAGCCGCCGCGGUAAUACGUAGGUCCCGAGCGUUGUCCGGAUUUAUUGGGCGUAAAGCGAGCGCAGGCGGAUUGAUAAGUCUGAAGUUAAAGGCUGUGGCUCAACCAUAGUUCGCUUUGGAAACUGUCAAACUUGAGUGCAGAAGGGGAGAGUGGAAUUCCAUGUGUAGCGGUGAAAUGCGUAGAUAUAUGGAGGAACACCGGUGGCGAAAGCGGCUCUCUGGUCUGUAACUGACGCUGAGGCUCGAAAGCGUGGGGGGCGAACAGGAUUAGAUACCCGAGUAGUCCCUGUCUCUUAUACC